UACGUAGGGGGCGAGCGUUGUCCGGAUUUAUUGGGCGUAAAGAGCGUGUAGGCGGCCAGGUAGGUCUGCUGUGAAAACUCGAGGCUCAACCUCGAGACGUCGGCGGAAACCAUCUGGCUAGAGUCCGGAAGAGGAGAGUGGAAUUCCGUGGUGUAGCGGUGAAAUGCGCAGAUAUCAGGAAGAACACCCGUGGCGAAGGCGGCUCUCUGGGACGGUACUGACGCUGAGACGCGAAAGCAUGGGGAGCGAACAGG
rnacentral:rRNA from 1 species